UGACGGAACUCUUCGGAGGGAAGGCAGUGGAAUGAGCGGCGGACGGGUGAGUAACACGUAAGGAACCUGCCUCAAGGAUUGGGAUAACUCCGAGAAAUCGGAGCUAAUACCGGAUAGUUCAUCGGACCGCAUGGUCCGCUGAUGAAAGGCGCUCCGGCGUCACCUUGAGAUGGCCUUGCGGUGCAUUAGCUAGUUGGUGGGGUAACGGCCCACCAAGGCGACGAUGCAUAGCCGACCUGAGAGGGUGAUCGGCCACACUGGGACUGAGACACGGCCCAGACUCCUACGGGAGGCAGCAGUAGGGAAUCUUCCACAAUGGACGAAAGUCUGAUGGAGCAACGCCGCGUGAGUGAUGAAGGUUUUCGGAUCGUAAAACUCUGUUGUAAGGGAAGAACACGUACGAGAGGAAAUGCUCGUACCUUGACGGUACCUUACGAGAAAGCCACGGCUAACUACGUGCCAGCAGCCGCGGUAAUACGUAGGUGGCAAGCGUUGUCCGGAAUUAUUGGGCGUAAAGCGCGCGCAGGCGGCCUUUUAAGUCUGAUGUGAAAGCCCCCGGCUCAACCGGGGAGGGCCAUUGGAAACUGGAAGGCUUGAGUACAGAAGAGAAGAGUGGAAUUCCACGUGUAGCGGUGAAAUGCGUAGAGAUGUGGAGGAACACCAGUGGCGAAGGCGACUCUUUGGUCUGUAACUGACGCUGAGGCGCGAAAGCGUGGGGAGCAAAC
rnacentral:rRNA from 1 species